rnacentral:rRNA from 1 species
UACGUAGGGUGCGAGCGUUGUCCGGAAUUCUUGGGCGUAAAGAGCUCGUAGGCGGUUUGUCGCGUCGACUGUGAAAACUGGGGGCUUAACUCUCAGCUUGCAGUUGAUACGGGCAGACUUGAGUUCGGUAGGGGAGACUGGAAUUCCUGGUGUAGCGGUGAAAUGCGCAGAUAUCAGGAGGAACACCGGUGGCGAAGGCGGGUCUCUGGGCCGAUACUGACGCUGAGGAGCGAAAGCGUGGGGAGCGAACAGG